UUUGAAUCUAGGCAGGAAGCUGUGUUCAUCCCUGUUCAGUGGUGUUUGUUCGGUUAAGCUGUAGUGUAGUUCUCAAGGGCCACCAACUUGAAUGUUUUUCAUGCCUCCCUGUUUUUCACACACAAUUUCAUUUAGUCAAGGUAAUGAGUAUAAGACUACAACUUUUCAAUAUUCAAGAUAUUUAUUGUCGUUUGCACAGCAGAAGUACAGGUACAUUGGAAUAAUUGUGUGAUUCUUGGAGUCCGUUUUAAAAAAAACACAUCUUUAUUUUAAGAGGGAGAGAAUAUAACAGUAAGCAUUCAGGAUGGUAGGCUUUUUCUAGCACAGUUCAAGUACUUACAUUCAUAAGAACCAAGUUGUUUUUUACACCCAUGAUGCUGAGGUUAUAUUUCUAAUGAUUUACCUUUUUCUCUUAGAUCAAGCCUUUGUGAUUCAUCACCAGUUAUAAAAAAAAGAAAGUUAAUCUAUGGGCUGGAGCAGCUGUCUCUGAGAGGAAAAGAAAAAAAUUAUAGCUCAAAGAACAAAUACUCAGUCACCUCCCUUUUACCUGUAUUGUGACUUGUGCCACUACCCAAUGGUUGCUCUACCCGGAUGGCACCAUAACUAAUCCCUGGCACUCUGAGCGAAAGAGUAGUGUUCCUGUCCGGGCCGUAUCUUUGGGAGGCGCUGUUUGGUGGUUUGCCGUGUACUUGCAUGCAGAUAAGUAGGGUGUUACCUGCUCAAUUCAUACAUUUUUACAAUUGUUUAUUAAUAGUAUUUUUGUUCUAGGACCAGCAUUGGUGGAGUUGGAGACGGUCACAUUCUGGCGCUGUCGCUUCAGUGCUCCUAUUUUCAUCUCAUAGAAUAAUAACAUGACUUUUUUCAACUAUUUAAAAAAAUAAACUUUUGUAGACUUGACCUGGAAACACGUCUCUGUAAGUCUUUACACAAAUCUGUAUUAUAAAUGUUGUUUGUCUCUGUACUAUUGGUGCGUCACAUUCAUAUAUAUAAAUUCUGAUAAGACAUGGACAUCUCCAACUCCAAUUACACCAUCUCUCAACAUGACACCACUUGUGUGCUAUUUAUCAUUCACAUAGACCUAUUAAGAAAUAAUUUGGUACAGUACUAUAAAUUAAUCUGUAAUGUAAAGCUAUUUUCUAACCAACAAUGUCCCUGCCUGACACAUAUCCCCGUCACGUAGGGACUAGGCUAAUAUCAUAGGCUAAUACAAAAAAUUGUAGUGACUUCCCUUGUGUAAAAUCGGAUGUCUGCGUCGGAGCCAGCAAACCGUUGCAGUCCAAACUCUCGCUGGAGACGUAACUCCUGUAGCUCCUUUCUCAGCUCCUCUACUUCAUUUGAGACGCUUUCAUUAGCGGAUGCGGACAUAUCCAUGGCAGCCGGUUCAGGGACAGAGCAGUAGUCUUGAUCGUUGAAAAGGAGAUCAACUUCAUCUUCCGGAGGGGCCGGUUCGACGAAACCGAUCCACUCUCUCCCACACGCCGCGCCUUGGGGUUUCGACUGUAUACUGG